rnacentral:misc_RNA from 1 species
GAAAUGCGAUAAGUAAUGUGAAUUGCAGAAUUCAGUGAAUCAUCGAAUCUUUGAACGCACAUUGCGCCCGAUAGUUAUUCUGGCGGGCAUGCCUGUCCGAGCGUCAUUUCAACCAUCAAGCCCUCGGGUUUGGUGUUGGGGAUCGGCGAGCCUUUCUGGCAGGCCGGCACCGAAAUCUAGUGGCGGUCUCGCUGCAGCCUCCAUUGCGUAGUAGUAAACCCCUCGCAACUGGAACGCGGCGCGGCCAAGCCGUUAAACCCCCAACUUCUGAAUGUUGACCUCGGAUCAGGUAGGAAUACCCGCUGAACUUAA